UACAGAGGCCCCAAGCAUUACCCGGAAUCACUGGGCGUAAAGGGUGCGUAGGCGGCAGUGUUAGUCUUUUGUGAAAUCCUUGGGCUUAACCCAAGAGGUGCAGAAGAAACGGCACUACUAGAGGAUGCGAGAGGUAUAUGGAACUCAUGGUGUAGGGGUGAAAUCCGUUGAUAUCAUGGGGAACACCAAAUGCGAAGGCAAUAUACUGGCGCACUCCUGACGCUGAGGCACGAAAGCGUGGGUAGCGAAU
rnacentral:rRNA from 1 species